rnacentral:ncRNA from 2 species
UAGUUCCACUAGGGGAGCGAAUUGCUGAGACAAGGUACCAAGCCUUGGACCCUCGAACCUGAUCUGGGUGAUGCCAGCGUAGGAAAGUGGAGAUUGGUUGUC